rnacentral:rRNA from 1 species
UUAGGAAAUUGACGGAGGGGCCCCACCGGGAUGGGACCCGGCUGGUGAAUAUUGUCAAACACGUAAACCAUACAUCAAAAGGAAUGAUAGACUUAAGCUCAUUCUUGAAUUGGGUUGUGGUGCAUGCCAUUGAUUGUAUAAAGUGAUUUUUUGACAUUGGACGGCCAAGAAGGGAUCUGGAUGGGAUCCAUUAAAACUUCUUACAGGGAAAUACGGCUUUUUGCGCUUUAGAAUGACCUAAACUUGUCUAAGAUGCCCUUGGAUGUUAUGGAUAGAACAUGGGCUACAUCCAAGAAAUCGAUGCCCUUCCCUUGUCCGAGAGGACUAAGGAAAAUGCUGAAACUUCUUUGUGGUUGGGAUUGGGAUUAUGAAUUACUUCCCAUGAACGAGGAAUUCCCAGUAGACGCGAGUCAUAAGCUUGCGUCGAUUACGUCCCUGCCCUUUGUACACACCGCCCGUCACUACUACCCAUCGAGUGAUUACGUGAGGACUUCGUACUGGUCUUCACUAUCGCUUCUA